rnacentral:rRNA from 1 species
GACGUAGGGCGCGAGCGUUGUCCGGAUUUAUUGGGCGUAAAGAGCUCGUAGGCGGCUUGUCGCGUCGACUGUGAAAUCCCGCGGCUCAACUGCGGGUCUGCAGUCGAUACGGGCAGGCGUAGAGUUCGGUAGGGGAGACGUGGAAUUCCUGGUGUAGCGGUGAAAUGCGCAGAUAUCAGGAGGAACACCGGUGGCGAAGGCGGGUCUCUGGGGCCGAUACUGACGCUGAGGAGCGAAAGCCGUGGGGAGCGAACAGG